rnacentral:rRNA from 1 species
UACGGGGGGGGCAAGCGUUGUUCGGAAUUACUGGGCGUAAAGGGCGCGUAGGCGGCCUGCUAAGUCGGAUGUGAAAUCCCUCGGCUCAACCGAGGAACUGCAUCCGAUACUGGCGGGCUUGAAUACGGGAGAGGGAUGUGGAAUUCCAGGUGUAGCGGUGAAAUGCGUAGAUAUCUGGAGGAACACCGGUGGCGAAGGCGGCAUCCUGGACCGGUAUUGACGCUGAGGCGCGAAAGCUAGGGGAGCAAACAGG